CUGCAACAGGUGGACCAAUACCUAUCCCAGUACCAACAAACAACCUUCCGAGAAGCAUACCCCACAGAUCUUUUGUUGUUGCACUCGUUGAAGCCCCAAUUAUCAUUGGCAAAGCACACAGCUGCAAAGCCCUGCGUCUCCCAACCCCAUCUGCAAUCCAGCCACUGAACAUAGAUCCAACAAAAGCACCACCUAGGCAUGUACUUACAACUAGACCUUCAGCCAUAGUAUUCCCACUAAAACUGAGGUCCAGAGAAAUACUCUCUAGUGUCUCAUUAACUACACCAAUAUGGUAGCCAAACAAGAAAGAAGAAAGCGUUGCCACCAGCACAUGCACAAAAGAAU
rnacentral:misc_RNA from 1 species